rnacentral:tRNA from 1 species
GGGCACGUAGCUUAGUCUGGUUGGAGCACUCGGCUGAUAACCGAGAGGUCGGCGGUUCAAAUCCGCCCGUGCCCA